GAUGAAGAACGCAGCGAAAUGCGAUACGUAAUGUGAAUUGCAGAAUUCAGUGAAUCAUCGAGUCUUUGAACGCACAUUGCGCCCCCUGGUAUUCCGGGGGGCAUGCCUGUCCGAGCGUCAUUGCUGCCCUCAAGCACGGCUUGUGUGUUGGGCCUCCGUCCUCCUCCCGGGGGACGGGCCCGAAAGGCAGCGGCGGCACCGCGUCCGGUCCUCGAGCGUAUGGGGCUUCGUCACCCGCUCUUGUAGGCCCGGCCGGCGCUUGCCGACACAUCAAUCUUUUUUCCAGGUUGACCUCGGAUCAGGUAGGGAUACCCGCUGUACUUAAGCAUAUCAAUAAGCGGAGGA
rnacentral:misc_RNA from 1 species